CCUACGGGAGGCAGCAGUGAGGAAUAUUGGUCAAUGGACGAGAGUCUGAACCAGCCAAGUAGCGUGAAGGAUGACUGCCCUAUGGGUUGUAACCUUCUUUUAUAUGGGAAUAAAAUGUUCCAUGUGUGGUAUUUUGUAUGUACCAUAUGACUAAGGAUCGGCUAACUCCGUGCCAGCAGCCGCGGUAAUACGGAGGAUGCGAGCGUUAUCCGGAUGUACUGGGUUUAAAGGGAGCGUAGGUGGAUUGUUAAGUCAGUUGUGAAAGUUUGCGGCUCAACCGUAAAAUUGCAGUUGAAACUGGCAGUCUUGAGUACAGUAGAGGUGAGCGGAAUUCGUGGUGUAGCGGUGAAAUGCUUAGAUAUAACGAAGAACACCGAUUGCGAAGGCAGCUCACUGGACUGCAACUGACACUGAGGCGCGAAAGUGUGGGUAUCAAACAGGAUUAGAUACCCGAGUAGUC
rnacentral:rRNA from 1 species